CUUAUACCCAGACAACUCUAGUUUCUUAUCUUCUUACCCCAUUAAAAACAUUCUUAAAGGCGUACAGAAAUCCAGUACCACUCCUCCAUCAACAAGAUUACCAGUACAUAAGCAGCUAUUUAAGGAUAUGUCCGUUUUGUUGGACACGGCCCCAUUUGAACACUAUACAAACAUGGUAAUCAAAACAGCCAUCUUCUUGGCAUAUUAUGGUUUUCUUAGACCUGGUGAUUUUACCAUAC